ACUCCUACGGGAGGCAGCAGUGGGGAAUAUUGCACAAUGGGCGCAAGCCUGAUGCAGCCAUGCCGCGUGUAUGAAGAAGGCCUUCGGGUUGUAAAGUACUUUCAGCAGUGAGGAAGGUGGAUAUGUUAAUAGCAUAUUCAUUUGACGUUAGCUGCAGAAGAAGCACCGGCUAACUCCGUGCCAGCAGCCGCGGUAAUACGGAGGGUGCGAGCGUUAAUCGGAAUUACUGGGCGUAAAGCGCAUGCAGGUGGUUUGUUAAGUCAGAUGUGAAAGCCCGGGGCUCAACCUCGGAAUUGCAUUUGAAACUGGCAAACUAGAGUACUGUAGAGGGGGGUAGAAUUUCAGGUGUAGCGGUGAAAUGCGUAGAGAUCUGAAGGAUACCGGUGGCGAAGGCGGCCCCCUGGACAGAUACUGACACUCAGAUGCGAAAGGCGUGGGGAGCGAAACAGGAUUAGAUACCCUGGUAGCUCUGC
rnacentral:rRNA from 1 species